rnacentral:rRNA from 1 species
GAUGAACGCUAGCGGGAGGCUUAACACAUGCAAGUCGAGGGGCAGCACGAGGUAGCAAUACUUUGGUGGCGACCGGCGUACGGGUGAGUAACGCGUAUGCAACCUACCCUGUACUGGGGGAUAGCCCGGAGAAAUUCGGAUUAAUACCCCAUAAAGAUAUUUGGAGGCAUCUUCAGAUAUUUAAAGUUUCGACGGUACGGGAUGGGCAUGCGUAACAUUAGCUUGUUGGUAAGGUAACGGCUUACCAAGGCUACGAUGUUUAGGGGUCCUGAGAGGGUGAUCCCCCACACUGGUACUGAGACACGGACCAGACUCCUACGGGAGGCAGCAGUGAGGAAUAUUGGUCAAUGGGCGCAAGCCUGAACCAGCCAUCCCGCGUGCAGGAAGACGGCGCUAUGCGUUGUAAACUGCUUUUCC